UGAAGAUUGAGGAAGAUAUCAAGCUCAAACUAUGUCUUGGCAUGGAUGGUGUUGAAUAUAAAACUUCUUCCUUAAAGGAAAAUCCCACCGAGGAGGGCAACGAGUAGGAGAAAUGGAAGUUUGGGCUCUACAAGAGAACCAAUGCCUAAACCUAGCACUGCUACAGAAUCUUUUUGAUUGCUCAGUCGAGAACUACGAUCUUUAGCUCUAGAAUUGAAUCAUACACACACCACCUCCUAACCGAUGGAGAGAAACCGAAAGCUCGUUGAAGAGAGACGCCCUCGGAUGGAAGCUCAUCAAGGAUGGAAAGCAGUGUUCUCUUCUCUUCAGCUUGUGCCACCUGUAUGGCAGCAUCUUUUUAUUGUGUCAGAGGUUUCUGCAGCGUAGUCUUCUUCUAUUCUCUGAAAUUUCUACAUUUUUGUAAAAAAAGCAGCUUCAGUUUCUUUGUCUCUGUUGAGCCGUAUGACAAGUGGCAAUACCUGUCUGUAUGUCGUCUUUCUUGAGGCGUUUUUUUCUGAAAUCUUCAGGUGACCCUUCACAUUUCAUGUUCAGCUAUGUUGCAACGGUUUCUUAUUAGUGACAGGUGUUUUUUUCCGAAAAAGUAUGUUGGCGCGUUCUUAAAUAACGUAUUUAGCUGGGAGCUUAUCUUGUAUGAGCUUUGAUUCUGGAAGGUUUGGUGUAUUCUUAAGUUUUUUCUACACUUGUUUUUAAAGGAUUUUGUCAUUACUUGAGUUCAAUGGAGGUAGAGAAGUGUAACAGUUCACUUCACUUGAUAUUUUUUUGCCAGUAAUAAUAAUGACUUCAAAAAGA